rnacentral:rRNA from 1 species
UGCGCUUGAGAGAACUCAGGAGAAGGAACUCGGCAAAUUGACACCGUAACUUCGGAAGAAGGUGUGCCUUUAGUAGGUGAACCAUUUACUUGGGGAGCCCAAUGAGGCUGCAAAAAAUCGGUGGCUGCAACUGUUUAUUAAAAACACAGCACUCUGCUAAGACGAAAGUCGACGUAUAGGGUGUGACGCCUGCCCGGUGCUGGAAGAUUAAAUGAUGGGGUGCAAGCUCUUGAUUGAAGUCCCAGUAAACGGCGGCCGUAACGAUAACGGUCCUAAGGUAGCGAAAUUCCUUGUCGGGUAAGUUCCGACCUGCACGAAUGGCGUAAUGAUGGCCACACUGUCUCCUCCUGAGACUCAGCGAAGUUGAAAUGUUUGUGAUGAUGCAAUCUCCCCGCGGAAAGACGGAAAGACCCCAUGAACCUUUACUGUAGCUUUGUAUUGGACUUUGAACAGAUCUGUGUAGGAUAGGUGGGAGUCUUUGAAGUGUGGUCGCUAGAUCGCAUGGAGCCAACGUUGAAAUACCACCCUGGUGUGUUUGAGGUUCUAACCUAGGUCCAUUAUCUGGAUCGGGGACAGUGCAUGGUAGGCAGUUUGACUGGGGCGGUCUCCUCCCAAAGUGUAACGGAGGAGUUCGAAGGUACGCUAGGUACGGUCGGACAUCGUGCUAAUAGUGCAAUGGCAUAAGCGUGCUUAACUGCGAGACUGACAAGUCGAGCAGAUGCGAAAGCAGGACAUAGUGAUCCGGUGGUUCUGUAUGGAAGGGCCAUCGCUCAACGGAUAAAAGGUACUCUGGGGAUAACAGGCUGAUACCGCCCAAGAGUUCAUAUCGACGGCGGUGUUUGGCACCUCGAUGUCGGCUCAUCUCAUCCUGGGGCUGUAGCCGGUCCCAAGGGUAUGGCUGUUCGCCAUUUAAAGAGGUACGUGAGCUGGGUUUAAAACGUCGUGAGACAGUUUGGUCCCUAUCUUCCGUGGGCGCUGCAGAUUUGAGGAAGCCUGCUCCUAGUACGAGAGGACCGGAGUGGACGAACCUCUGGUGUAUCGGUUGUCACGCCAGUGGCAUUGCCGAGUAGCUAAGUUCGGAAGAGAUAACCGCUGAAAGCAUCUAAGCGGGAAACUCGUUUCAAGAUUAGAUCUGCCGGGGCCUUGAGCCCCCUAAAGAGUCGUUCAAGACCAGGACGUUGAUAGGUCAGGUGUGGAAGCG